GAUGAAGAACUCAGCGAAAUGCGAUACGUAGCGUGAAUUGCAGAAUUCAGUGAAUCAUCGAAUCUUUGAACGCACAUUGCACCUCUCGGUAUUCCGGGAGGUAUGCCUGUUCGAGCGUCAUUUGUACCCUCAAGCUCUGCUUGGUGUUGGGUGUUUGUUCCGCCUCUGUGUGUGAACUCGCCUCAAAACAAUUGGCAGCCGGCGUACUUGUUUCGGAGCGCAGCACAUUUUGCGAUCCAGAUCAACGUACAGCGGCAUCCAAGAAGCCUUAUUUAACGCUCUUGACCUCGGAUCAGGUAGGGAUACCCGCUGAACUUAAGCAUAUCAAUAAGCGGAGGA
rnacentral:misc_RNA from 1 species